CCUUUGAGUAGAGGCGCGCUGCCUAAAAGUAACCGGGAAGAGGGUGAUGCCUUUGAGGCCCGGGGAAAGGAGUCGGCGCCGAAGUAGCCAGGCCAUCAAACCUAGCUGCUGGUUCUGUAUCUAACAGGUGCAGGACUGCCAUAGUCAUCCACUAUGGAGCGCUACCUGAAGG
rfam:Shewanella algae strain BrY contig_44_1, whole genome shotgun sequence.